rnacentral:rRNA from 1 species
CCUACGGGUGGCAGCAGUGAGGAAUAUUGCACAAUGGGGGAAACCCUGAUGCAGCGACGCCGCGUGAGUGAAGAAGUAUCUCGGUAUGUAAAGCUCUGUUGGUAGUGAAGAAAGAUAGAGGUAGUAACUGGCCUUUAUUUGACGGUAAUUACUUAGAAAGUCACGGCUAACUACGUGCCAGCAGCCGCGGUAAUACGUAGGUGGCAAGCGUUGUCCGGAUUUAUUGGGCGUAAAGCGAGUGCAGGCGGUUCAAUAAGUCUGAUGUGAAAGCCUUCGGCUCAACCGGAGAAUUGCAUCAGAAACUGUUGAACUUGAGUGCAGAAGAGGAGAGUGGAACUCCAUGUGUAGCGGUGGAAUGCGUAGAUAUAUGGAAGAACACCAGUGGCGAAGGCGGCUCUCUGGUCUGCAACUGACGCUGAGGCUCGAAAGCAUGGGUAGCGAACAGGAUUAGAUACCCUUGUAGUC